GACGAACGCUGGCGGCGCGCUUAACACAUGCAAGUCGAGCGAAGCGGCGGACGGGUGAGUAACACGUGAGUGACCUGCCUUAGACAUUGGGAUAGCCUCGGGAAACCGGUAUUAAUGACAAAUGGUCUAAGAUGGACUCGCGUCCCAUUAGCUGGGUGGUGAGGUAACGGCCCACCAAGGCGACGAUGGGUAGCCGGCCUGAGAGGGUGAACGGGCACUUUUGAACGGAGAAACGGUCCAAACUCUGCGGGAGGCAGCAGUGUGGAAGAUGGCCCAAUGGAGGGAACUCGGAUGGUGCGACUCGGGGUGAACGAAGUAGGCUUUCGAGUCGUAAAGUUCUUUUAUAUGGGAAGCGGUACCAUAAGAAAAAGCCCCGGCUAACUACGUGCCGGCAGCCGCGGUAAUAC
rnacentral:rRNA from 1 species